rnacentral:rRNA from 1 species
AGAGCCCAAACCAAGAAGCUUGCUUCUUGGGGUUGUAGGACACUCUAUACGGAGUUACAAAAGAAAGUUAUAAAUGAAGCGGUCUGGAAAGGCCCGCCAAAGACGGUAACAGCCCGGUAGUUGAAAUAGCUUUCCCUCCAGAGUGGAUCCUGAGUACGGCGGAACACGUGAAAUUCCGUCGGAAUCCGGGAGGACCAUCUCCCAAGGCUAAAUACUCCCUAGUGACCGAUAGUGAACCAGUACCGUGAGGGAAAGGUGAAAAGCACCCCGGAAGGGGAGUGAAACAGUUCCUGAAACCGUGUGCCUACAAGUAGUUAGAGCCCGUUAAUGGGUGAUAGCGUGCCUUUUGUAGAAUGAACCGGCGAGUUACGAUUUGUUGCAAGGUUAAGCGGAAAAAGCGGAGCCGUAGCGAAAG